rnacentral:lncRNA from 1 species
CCAAUUUCCAAAUUGAUGUUACAGAAAAUAAUAGAAAAGUCCCAACAAUGACAAAAUCAUGGAUCAGACAUAGAAGAGCACUUGGAAUUAAAGUCAUAUACAACAUUGCCAAAAAUUUGCGUGCUUAUGCCAAUAUGAAAAUUGGAUGCUAGUAUCUAAUGGAGGAUAUGCAAAAUCAGGAAUUUUAAAGGACUAUAUUACAAGGUUUGAUAUACAUCAAUUUCCAGGAUAUCCUACCACUAUAAAAGAAUCCUGCCAGUUAAGGGAGUGCCCCAACUGCAUGUGAAGAAAUGAAAAAGAAGACAAAGUACCUUUUGACAAAGGUGUAUGAAGGACAAUAAUACUACAUGUAAAGACAUUGACUAUGAAAAGCAAUAAUAGAAAAAAAUGCUUUUUGGAUAAGAAACCAACAUGUGAAGAUGUAGGCCCAAGGAAGAAAAUAGAAGGCAAGAGUGUCUUUGCCGAUGUAAUAAAUGAUGUAAUAGAGUCUCAAAAACUUGUAUAAAUAGAGACAUUACCAUAGAAGAAUAUCAUCCUAUCCUAUCUUGAAUUCUUGAGUUGUAAGUAAUAGCCUAUUCUCAGUUUGAAAAACCAGUUUUUCUGGAAAUCCCUUUGUACCAAAUAUAAGUCUUGUAUCAAUCCUAAUAGAAAUAAAAUUCUAAUAUUUUGAUAUCAAUAUGAGUUUCUAAAUUCUUUUUCCAUAGAUUCUUGAAAGAUCUAAUAGAAAGUUUCCUUCUUAUUUUAGCAAAAAUGGAGUUUUCUUUAACAGAAGUCUAGAAUUUUAUUCUUUAGAAACUGAUACAGUGAGAGCAAGUAGUUGAAAUAGUAACAAUUCCGUGAAGGCAGGAGACCUUUGAAGGAAGCAGUUUACAAAUUCAGAGCUCGAAGGUCACUUGGUUCUAAGAAUGCAAGUCUAGAUCAAAUCUAAGGUAAAAUUAUUAAACUUUUGCUAAAAUUAGAAUGAAUCUUUUAAAGGUCUUAAAAGAAUCGCAUGGAUAAUUGCAUGAUGAUUAUUUUGAUAAAUGCCAGGAUAUACAGUUGAAGGAUUAGAUAAUUUAUUAGAAAGAAUGUUAGAAGAAAUAAAGAGUAUUAUAUCUCAAUUAAAAAAU